rnacentral:rRNA from 1 species
CAGUAGCCGCGGGAAUACGGAGGGAGCUAGCGUUGUUCGGAAUUACUGGGCGUAAAGCGCGCGUAGGCGGUUACUCAAGUCAGAGGUGAAAGCCCGGGGCUCAACCCCGGAACUGCCUUUGAAACUAGGUGACUAGAAUCUUGGAGAGGUCAGUGGAAUUCCGAGUGUAGAGGUGAAAUUCGUAGAUAUUCGGAAGAACACCAGUGGCGAAGGCGACUGACUGGACAAGUAUUGACGCUGUGGUGCGAAAGCGUGGGGAGCAAACAGGAUUAGAUACCCCUGUAGUCCCUGUCUCUUAUAC